CCUACGGGAGGCAGCAGUGGGGAAUAUUGCACAAUGGGGGAAACCCUGAUGCAGCGACGCCGCGUGAGCGAUGACGUCUUUCGGUAUGUAAAGCUCUAUCAGCAUGGAAGUAAAUGUCGGUAUCUGACUUAGAAGCCCUGUCGAACUACGUGCCAGCAGCCGCGGUACUACGUAGGGGGCAAGCGUUAUCCGGAUUUACUGGGUGUUAAGGGAGCGUAGGCGGUUCUGCAAGCCAGUUGUGAAAGCCCGAGGCUCAACCGCGAGAUUGCAGUUGAUACUGGAAGGCUAGAGUGUCGGAGAGGCAGGCGGAAGUCGUGGUGUAGCGGUGAAAUGCUGAGAUAUUAGGAGGAACACCAGUGGCGAAGGCGGCCUGCUGGACGAUGACUGACGUUGAUGCUCGAAAGCGUGGGGAGCAAACAGGAUUAGAUACCCUUGUAGUC
rnacentral:rRNA from 1 species